UGAGGAAUAUUGGACAAUGGAUGCAACUCUGAUCCAGCCAUGCCGCGUGCAGGAAGACUGCCCUAUGGGUUGUAAACUGCUUUUAUACAGGAAGAAACACCUCUACGUGUAGAGGCUUGACGGUACUGUAAGAAUAAGGAUCGGCUAACUCCGUGC
rnacentral:rRNA from 1 species